CCGUGAGGUGGAGCGAAUCCUUUCAAAGCCGGUCUCAGUUCGGAUCGGGGUCUGCAACUCGACCCCGUGAAGUCGGAGUCGCUAGUAAUCGCAGAUCAGCAACGCUGCGGUGAAUACGUUCCCGGGCCUUGUACACACCGCCCGUCACGUCAUGAAAGUCGGUAACACCCGAAGCCGGUGGCCUAACCCUUGUGGAGGGAGCCGUCGAAGGUGGGAUCGGCGAUUGGGACGAAGUCGUAACAAGGUAGCCGUACCGGAAGGUGCGGCUGGAUCACCUCCUUU
rfam:Mycobacterium iranicum strain H39 scaffold_92, whole genome shotgun sequence.